rnacentral:lncRNA from 1 species
AUAUAUAUAUAUAUCGUGCAUUCAAGAGGACAAAUGGCAUGUGGUUGUCCCUUCAAAGACGUGUUAGGAAAUGGCCACAUCUAUUAAGCUGCUUCUCUCUUUACUACCAGCUAAAAGGCUGUGAGUUGGGUUGGAGAGUCGAGUGUUAAUGGACUUUAGGUUUGAUUUCUCAGCAGCAGUCAUUUCCCAGCAAACCAUGCCAAGAAAUCUGUAGUGGAGUUUGAAGAGGGCAUUAAUUCUUCGACUACUAAAACCAUCAGUCAGUAACAUUGUUUCCUACGUUGGGUUACAUAGGAAGCAUCACGAGAGCUAAAGCUGAAAACCAAGAAAGAAAUGAGACCUGUCUACAAAAUUACAGGAAGAGAAUCCUUUCUGUCUUCUCCUUCCAGUUUAAUCUCUGUUCUUCUUGUUAUGGCUCGGAUUCGACUUGCUCGGUGGCAACCUCCUCAGGCUUGCACUGACUGCAAUCACAGGCGGCUUGGCGACUGCUCCAUGAGACAGCAGCAACAGCUUCCUGGGUCGAGAGCUCUCCCUAGUGAACUCUCUCUGAGGAGGCGAUGGGAAGCUGAGAAACAAAUGGAGGAGAAGUAAAGCACAGAGGAAGGAGACGGCUGUGCAGGUGGCUCUCAUAGCGAUUGGUGUGCAGCAGGCAAUUGUGUGGGAUGGUUGAAGAAGGGUGGAGGUAUUCCGUUUAUAUAAUAACUAGCGUCUCCAUGCCUCGUGAUAAUUGGCACAGCAUGUGAGUCGCGG